AAUGAACGCUGGCGGCAUGCCUUACACAUGCAAGUCGAACGGCAGCAUGACCUAGCUUGCUAGGUUGAUGGCGAGUGGCGAACGGGUGAGUAAUGCAUCGGAACGUGCCUUUUAGUGGGGGAUAACGUAGCGAAAGUUACGCUAAUACCGCAUAUUCUCUGAGGAGGAAAGCAGGGGACCUUCGGGCCUUGCGCUAGAAGAGCGGCCGAUGUCGGAUUAGCUAGUUGGUGAGGUAAAGGCUCACAAAGGCAACGAUCCGUAGCGGGUCUGAGAGGAUGAUCCGCCACACUGGGACUGAGACACGGCCCAGACUCCUACGGGAGGCAGCAGUGGGGAAUUUUGGACAAUGGGCGCAAGCCUGAUCCAGCCAUGCCGCGUGAGUGAAGAAGGCCUUCGGGUUGUAAAGCUCUUUCGGCUGGGAAGAAAUCGCACCCUCUAAUACAGGGUGUGGAUGACGGUACCAGCAUAAGAAGCACCGGCUAACUACGUG
rnacentral:rRNA from 1 species